rnacentral:rRNA from 1 species
UCCGGGGGGGGGAAGCGUUGUGCGGAAUUACGGGGCGUAAAGGGCGCGUAGGCGGCCUGCUAAGUCGGACGUGAAAUCCCUCGGCUCAACCGGGGAACUGCGUCCGAUACUGGUGGGCUCGAAUCCGGGAGAGGGAUGUGGAAUUCCAGGUGUAGCGGUGAAAUGCGUAGAUAUCUGGAGGAACACCGGUGGCGAAGGCGGCAUCCUGGACCGGUAUUGACGCUGAUGCGCGAAAGCCAGGGGAGCAAACGGG